AUGAAAACACAAUCUGAGGUGGAGGGAGUGAUCAUGAAGUCCACUCCUCCUCCUCCUCCUCCAGUGUUUAUUCGUGUCAGCGAGCGUGACCUGACAGAGAUUGAGCUCCAUUCCGUCGACUCCAUCAAUGACCUGCACCGCACACACUCUGAACAGCACAGCAAAGGUGUUCAGCCACCCCGUCCACCACCUCCUACCUCCAAUGGAAAUCUUCAGAUGCAAGAUCGAGGAGUUGUCUAUCAAACAGGUCAACCAGUGAGAAGGCCCUGUGUGAGCAGACUGAAUGACAUAUGCACCUCCACUAGGCGGCACUAUUUUUUAGCAAGUGCAGCCAUUAUUGCGUUCCUCCUUACUCUCAUUCUUAUCUUCAGUUUUUUAGUCCAGCAGAGCAGUGCUCUCCACACACUUUUGGAGAUGGUGAAACAGAAAAAGGAAGCAGCUGAAGAAAUUUCCCAACUCUUACAAGAGCUGCAAAAGCUGCACAUCAACCACACAGAGCAGCGACCAUAACAAAAAAUAUUUCAACAUAGACCCGCAGGAGAAACAUUACUGCACUGUGACAACACUGAGAGAAGAGCACCGAUUACUUCACAUCAAUGUGUGAUUCUAUGUCUUAAAGGCUUCUAUUGCCUCGGUGGAAUCUAAUAUCUUGCUCAAAAACAUUCACUUAGCCUCCUGAUGUUUGUGCAGUGUAACUUGAAAAUAAUGUGUUAAUUAAUGGACUUUUCACCAGUAUUAUUUUGUACACUUACAUGGUCACACACUAUUUGGCAACUUGUUAUAUUAGUUUCACUAAAGCAAAUGACAAUACAAAACAACACUAAGAAAUAUGGAAAGAAUGUGAAUAAUCAUACUUGUUAUUAUAUUUUAAUUCCUUGUUAUCACUCCAGACAAACAUUAAAUUGUGCUAAAAAAUUGUGAAUGAGCUAGAACAUUCACUAUGGUGAGCUUUUUUUGAGUGAUUGCCGAAUGAUUGUAAAUAAUUAUAUAGACUAUAACAUUCUAUUUAAUAAGAAAAAAAAAGAAAUUUUAAAAUAAGAAUAAAAAAUAAACAAAUGAAAACGUUCUUACA
ensembl:lncRNA